GAGACCAGCCUGACCAACAUGGCAAAACACCGUCUGUACUAAAAAUACAAAAUUAGCCAGGCGUGGUGGCACAUGCCUGUAAUCCCAGCUGCUCGGGAGGCUGUGGCAGGAGAAUUGCUUGAAUCAGGGAGGUGGAGAUUGCAGAGAGCUGAGAUCAUGCCAUUGCACUCCAGCAUGGGUGACAGAGCGAAACUCCAUAAAAAAAAAAAAUGUAAGGGCUUGAAAAUAGUUUAUCAUCAUCAUUAAUUUAUUUCUGUAAACUCUUCCCCUUUCCUCUUUCCUCUUAGCAUAAUUGAACUUCCACAUGGAGGUCUGUUCUACUCCUGAUUCGAGUUUUGUAAAUAAUCUUUGUGGUAUUCUUUUGUGCCAAUGACAGCAGUUUAUUCUUCAGUUGAUCUUUUUGCCUCUUCUUCUUUUCCCCCAGCCAGCUUUCAAUGGUUAUAGAGCUUUAGCCUUCUGUGAAGAUAGAAAAAGCAUUCAUAUACUUUCCUUUGCAGAUCUAUCAUCUCCUUUCCAUUAAAGCAAUCCCUUGAUAUACCACAUACUCGAGUCUUAGUCAUUUCUUUCAAUAUGCAAUGCUGACUUGUUGGCAUAAUUUCAUCUCACUUACACAUUUUCAAACACAUUCUUCUCAACCUGAAGUCUGAGUAAGCUGGUAGCAAUGAAGACAAAAACAGUAUUCACCUUCAAUCACCAUAGUGUCCCAGCCCCUAGCUCAGUGCCAGCCAAAUAAUAAGAACCCACAAAUAUUUGGGUAAUGAAUGAGUAAAUGGGCUGUGUGUUGACAAGAGAGUAGCUGAAACGCUAAACUCAUUUGUUUUUUAGUGACAGUUACUAAGUGGGGAGAAUUCCAGGGGGAAUAAUGAUGGAGGACAGUGUGGAGUCUAAAGCCAAUGUGUGUGUGUGUGUGUGUGCGUGUUUGCGUGCAUGUGUGUGUGAGAGAGAGAGAGAGAUGUUCAGAGAUUAGCAGGAAGUACAGUUCAGAAUCAAAUAGCUUAAAGGAAAAGGAGGGAUUGGGACAUCACCCAUGGUAAAGGGUUCUGAGAAGCUACCCUAUUGAUUCAUAGAGGGUGUUCAGAGUCCCGUGUUUUAGUGACCCCAGUUCCACCUAGACCCAGCUCCAGGCAUAAUAUGUUUGACAAAAUGGCAGGACAGUGAAAGGGUCAUUAAAGUACUUUAUUUGUAUCAUGAAAAGAUUGACUUAUAAAUCUUCAUUAAAUAUUUGCCUUCCUAGCCAGACAUAAGCUCCAUAAAGACAGGCGCUGGCCCUCAGGGAGCAAGUGAACUGGCAUGGUGCCUGGCGCCCAGCAGUUCCUUCAUGAAGAUUUCAGAAUGACCAAGUGAGUUGAAUGCACAGCCCAGGCAUCUGUGUUUUCACACCUCUCCAGGGUCUGUUCCAUUAUUCACGUAGAAAAACCUGUUAACUAUUGUGAAGCAGCCUUGUAUCUGUAGCUGCCACACACUUCUCAAUGACCUUCCCUUUCCAAGUUGAGUUUUGCACCAUGUCAACAAGUGGCAGCUUUCUAGCAUCAAAUUGUUUGUCCAGGGUUAUCAGCAUUACUUUCUUUUCUUGUCCUCACUACAAUACACAUGCCCAUCUCAAAUCAGUUCCAUUGUUACUUAGGUAAUAGUAUUGUAGGGUGUCUUUACUUCAGAAAGAAUGAUAUAUUUAGCAAAUGUUACAGAUAUAGGAGGUUUUAAGUGGGACUAAAUGCAGCAAUUAAUGCUAAUGAGUCUGCUGUUAGCAUGUAAUAUUCUUGGUGUUAUAAUCAUGCAUCACUGAAUGCGAAGCCUCAGUUUGUGCAACAGAUGCCGAUCUUAAUGGCUAUAUUCUCUUCCCAUGGAUAAGCUAGCUUUAGUUAAAUGAAUCAUUAAGAAUAACCAUUUAAAAUGUUAAUGAAAACAGUGAUUAUAACCACCAAGAUUUUUUUUUUAACUUCUGGCUCUAUUACUUUUUAUUUUCGAAAGGACUUUGGGAAGGUAAGAAACUUAUUGCCUGUGUAUGUUGUUUUAAACAGAGAAGGCCGAUACAGUUUCUGUUCACAGCAGCCCUGAGGCCGCAUGCCUGUAUUAUUAACACCAACCGUACUUGGAGACUAACUCUCUUUUGUUCUCAUUUGUCAUUUCUUUUAAAUAUUCAUUUAGGGUAUAAGACAGAAUUGGGUAAGUAGGAUCCUUGACAGUCCAACUAGUUGGUAAACAAAUAUUUUGUCUUCCUGAAAGUAUCAUUAUACUAUCGCAAAUUAAGACUGAAAAGGAAAAAAAUACCAGGAUGUUGAUAUUUAAGAAUAAAUACUUUAUCUUUUCAGAACAACAAUAAGAAGGCUGGUUUAGGCUUUAUCGCUGGAAAAUGGAGUUUGUGAAACAAAGAAGUAAUAGAUGCAUAGCAAGAGCUCAGUGUCCUUCCACAUUGUGUCACCGGUUGUACCCUGAGACAGAUUCUCCAAGUCUUAGAACAUGGAUAUGCAGUGAGAGUGAGGUUUACGUAGAAAAGUCUUUGUGUCUUGGGAGUGCCAUGUGUAUUGAAUGUCUAUGACUCAUGUCUCCCCUUGACUCACUUCUUGGCUGGGCUACAUGACUCAUCAGGCCUGGUAGGUUCAGGGCAGUGUAGCUGGUGGGGAAGGGCUAAGUGAAGAGGGGCUGUCUAGACCUGGGGAGCAUGGUUAUAAUGAGCUUUUUCAAACGUACAACUCAACUCUCUUGCACCUAGGAAGUAUCUUCAUCCAGAAGGAGUUCUCAGUCCUUUUUCUGGUCCUGCAGAGCAAAAGAGGAGAGAGAAAAAGAGAAUGAGUUACAUGGGCCCACUGUAUGUUAUAGCUGACUGCUGAUGGUAUCAGAGAUUUUAACACUGCAGUCAACUGCAGACAAAGCCGCAAUCUUGUGACUUCACAGAGCCUCAUGGGCUUUUGAGUUGACCAACUUGAGAAAAAUUUCUGACUUGAUGCAUGAAAUGAAACGAAGGCAGGUGACACAUAAAGGAAAUGACAAGACACGAUUGAAAACUAUUGACCCUCAAGUUAUCACAAAUGGUUAUGAAAUGGAAAUGGAAUGGGAAGGAGUAUGAAAAAAUAAGCUGAAUACUGACAAACCUAAGAAUUAUUUUCUUCAGCUUUGUCUUCCAAAGGACAAUGGUGUGAGGAGGACUUCAUCCUUGUGUAACACCCUGUGUGUGUGUUUUUCUUCUUUCUCUCACCAAAGCAUUUUUUUUUCCUCCCUUUUGCUGGAGGCCUGUCUCUUUCUCUUGAACAGAUCAACAAUCAGGUCGUAAAUGGGAGUUGGAGCCGGAUGAUCAAAAAGAACUUUAGAAAAAUGGGAAUAAAAGCAAGAGCUGAUGAGUUUGAAAUGAAAGCCCAUCUGGGAGAGCUCUUCUAAUGAACUCAGCCUACUCAAACUGUACAAAGAAAGCUGAAGAAUGAUUGCAGCUGCAAUCUCCAACCUACAUAAAGCACUAACGCUGGUAAGGUGAUGAAAGUGAAGGGAGGUAACUGGUAUCUGGAUUUGGAAGAGAGAAGUCAAAGGCCAUCACCCCCUUGUACUACUGCAUUCACCAUGUAAGUUCCUUCGGAAAUUUCACAGCCAAUCUGAAUUAAAGAGACAGCUGCAGAUGCUUCAGGAUGAAGGUCACACUCUGAAUUCUACGAAGAGCCCUAUGAUUCAAAAGUACCAUCUCUUUAGCCUCAGAGCAGUUGUAUACCACCUUCUCACUUGCUCUGUCCCUGGGCUAGUAUGGCUUUGAAAUUAUGUUAAAGAAGAGGCAUUUUCCCUCACAAAGACUCCCAAAAUAUGACUAUUAAGUGAAAGAACAGGUAGAGGGAGGGAAAGAGCUGAAUCUAAGUGGAGAUUAAUAAAGUGUUGUUUUGAAAUUGUUCCUUUAUUUUUCCUGGGUUAAUUAUCGCCAUUUAGUCACGACUUCCUGACACAGCACCAGAAAUUUUGUUGAAAUCUUAAUAUUCUGCAGGAAACUGACCUGACUACCAGCAGGAAUUAUAUUGACUAAUUAAUAAUGUCCAGUCUCCCUCAAGGAUAAGUCACCUCUGUCUGGCUCUAUCAUGGCCACUCUUAGAAUGAUGGUGAUGGUCCACUGAUUGUCACAUCCAAUGAAUUUAUCUGAAGUAUUUGUCCUAUGUAACCUCUUCAAAGCUUUCAGCGCCAGUCACCACCCAGUUUUCAUUUUCUUGUUUCUCUUCCUAACUCUCUCACAAUUUCUCAAUUUCCAUAAUUGUCUCCUCUUUCUCCAUGCACACUUUUAUACAUUGUUUUUCUCCAGGAUUGUACUUUUCUCCUGAUCUCACAGAGCACUCCUAAUACAGUGUUGGUUUUAUUUACAUUUAAUAUAAUUGAAAUCUGAAAUGGUAUACUCAGCUGCUCCAUGUAGAUAUUUGAGGGUACCUCAAAUUCAACAUGUCCUGAGCUGAAACUCAUCAUCUUCCACUUUACUUUGGUUCUUCUUCUAAAUUCCCUGUUAUCAGUUAAUGGAACUCUAAUUCAUCUAUAAAUUUAAGCUAGUAUCCACAGAAUUAUUAUUUUUGGGGGGGUGGGGGGUGGGGUACAGAGUCUCACUCUGUUGCUCAGGCUGGCUUGCAAUGGCACAAUCUUGGCUCACUGUAACCUCUGCCUCCCAGGUUCAAGCAAUCCUCCCAGCUCAGUCUCCUGAGUAGCUGGGAAUACAGGUGCAUGCCACCACACCUGGCUAAUUUUUGCAUUUUUAGGAGACACGGUUUCAACAUGUUGGCUAGGCUGGUCUCAAACUCCUGACCUCAAGUGAUCUGCUUGCCUCAGCCUCCCAAAGUGCUGGGAUUACAAACGUAAGCCACCACCCCCAGCCAAAGUUAUUCUUAUUUCCUUCUUUUUCUUCAUGUGUCUUAUGUAGUCAUAUAUUAUUUUACAUUUUUUCUAAUUUUUAAAAAAUUAUUUAAACAAAUUUUUAGCACACACCACCUUUGUUAUUCUCAUAAAUUGACCUCUACUCUCCAUCGUCACUUCCACUGCCUUUGUUCAGUGCCUUGUCAUUUGUUACCAGCAUCACUACGUAGAUUUCCAACUGGUGUUUUGGUCUGCGAUAUUGUAUCCCCUUACCCACAGCUAUUCCAUCUGUCUUUCAUAGUGAACAGAAUGUACAUACAUAAAGUUGAUCAUGUACUCAUCUUAUUUAAAUGUUCGUGGUCUUUUUACCUGUAAAAAUCCAAAUAGAUUAGUAAAACAUCAGUUCACUUAACCUAGCUUUCCAACCCCGAUCUCUUGACAUUACACUCCUUUUGCUAUGAAUUUUAUGCUUUAUUCAGACUUCAAUCUCACCCUUUCUAGAUCUGGUUUUUCCUUUUUAUUUAAAAUGUCUUGUUUGGCAAGCUCCUGCUUACUAUACAAAAUCUAUCUCAGAUGUGCCCUUCUCUGUGAUUCAUUCUCUCCAAUUUCCCUAGUUGAUUCUCAGCUUAUGCUAGCAUUUUAAGUCUUUGUUUUUCUGCUUUUCAUCACUAUUUUAAGAGUGGGCCCAAACCAUGUCUUCUCAACUUUUGCAUCUCUAUUGCCUAUCAAAGUUCCUUACACAAAGAAGUUUCUAGAUAAUUACUCAAUGGAUGAAUGAAUACAUGGGAGUCUUUUGCCUCUCAUCUCACAUUUAUAAGAGUGUCCCCACUCUGAUGUACCUUGAAGGUGGAAGAAACUUACUAUUCCAAGUGGUGUUGAAAGCGGAGAAGUUGUGACAGGACAAGAAGUGUUUUUCUAAUCUAAACCAGGUAUCUUAUUUCCCUAUAUUUGCUUCUAUCAUUUUCUCUACUCCUCUAGGUCUAGAAAAAUGAUGAUAUCUAUGAUACAUCUACGUUAUACUAUAAUAGAUAUGUGAAACUAAAUUUUUUGUCACUCUUUUAAAUUGUUUUAAAUUGACAUGUAAUAAUUGUGCAUAUUCAUUACAUGUGAUGUUUCAAUACAUAUAAUGUAUAGUGAUCAGAUCAGGGCAAUCAACAUAUACAUCAUCUCAAACAUUUGUCAUUUCUUUGUGUUGAGAAGGUUCAAUAACCUACUUUUAGCUAUUUGAAAUUAUAUAUUAUUGUUAACUCUAGUCAUCCUAUCUUGGUACAGAAUGCAUUAGAACUUAUUUCCCUUAUCUAGCUGUAGUUUUGUAUUCUUUAACAAAUCUCUUAUCAUCCAAACAGUAAAUUAAAAAAUAAAUACAAUAUGCAGGGGAAACUGCAUAACUCAAAUUCUAAAAAUAUGCUUAAGAGUGAAAACAAAAACUGAUUUCGAAUAUAUUGAUGCCCUUUCUGUAUUUGGUAGACUUAAAUAUGAACAUUUGUAUUAUCUUUUGUUAGUGUCUCUUGACUUAGAGGCUUAUAUUUAAGGAUCCCAAUAAAUAUUUUUUAAUCCAUACUCAAUGUCAUACUGAGGACUAACCACCUAUGAGUUUAUAGAGGGAUUGUGAUUAGAUCAUAAUCAGUUUUCUCACUGAUCUAUUGAAGCAGGUUAAUUUGGUCUCACAGAACUUUAAAAUUUUUUCUUUCUCUACUUCAUUUCACUGUGAAAUUAGCAAUUAUUUUUUCCUGUAAGGUAAUAAUAUGAUCAAGAAGAAAAACAGGAAGGCUGAUAAAGAGAUAUGUACAGUAGAAUUUUCUCCACUGAUCCUUUGUCUGGAAGGCAACUAAAAUUUAGGCAGUCCAGAUUCUUUCAGUCAACAGGAGGCACUGUAGUUAUUCAGAUAAAACUAUGUUUCAUUCCUUAAUUUUGGUAAAUACCAUCCUAUAUUUAUUUUCUUGGAUUAUUAUAAAACACAAUCUCAGAAUUCUGUAUAUCACAUCUGAAUCUGCAAUCUGAAUUAAGCAAAAGAAAAAACUUAGAAUGAGAUUAAUUUUAUUUGUCUAACUGACUGGGCUAAGUGGUGCUUAGACAGUUGUUUAAACAUUAUUCCUGGAUGUGUCUGUGAGGGUGUUUCUGGAUGAGAUUAACAUUUGAAUUGGUAGACUGAGAAAGCAGAUUGAUCUUCCCAAAUGUGGGUAGGCCUCACCUAAUCCAUUGAAGGCCUGAAUAGAAUAAAAGGCUAAGUAAGAAAGAAUUAUCUCUCAUUACCUGCCUUCAAGCUAGGACAUUAGUUUUCUCCUGCCUUCACACUUGGACUUGGACUGAAAUUACUUUCACACUAUCAGCUUUCCUGAGUCUUCAGCUUAUUGGCUGUAGAUUUUGAGACUUCUCAGCUUCCAUAAUCAUGUGAGCCAUUUUAAAAUUUUAUCUAUCUAUCUAUCUAUCUGUCUGUCUGUCUGUCUAUCUUCUAUGGGUUUUGUUUCUCUGAAGAAAUCAGACUAAUACAGUAAGUUUUAACAAAAUAUUUUAAGUAAGCUGAGCUUAGCUCAAUCAAAUGAAUAAUAAUACAUUAUUGUCUUUUAUACCUUGCUCUUUAUCACACUCUAAGAAGAUAUUUCUUAAAGUCCUUAUUCUCUUAUCCUCAAUCACAGUAUUACCCACCCCCCCAAAAAAAACUUUACUAAAGGAAGUUGCUGCUGUAGCUCAUCAACAUAUGUCCUUAUAUUUAAAGAAUAUUGGUGUGUAUAGCUUUAGUCAGAGGUGGAUUAUCUAGUUUCUUUACUAUAUUAAUCAUUGUAUUCUGUCCUGAGACUAGAAUAUACUGAUAUAAUAGACAGUGUAGACUGGGCACAGUGGCUCACACCUAUAAUCCCAGCAUUUUGGGAGGCCCAGGUGGGCAGAUCACUUGAGGCCAGGAAUUUGAGACCAGCCUGGGCAACAUGGCAAAACCCCUGUCUGUACUAAAAAUACAAAAAUUAGCCAGGCAUAGUGUCACAUGAUUAUAGUCCCUGAUACUUAGAGAUUGAGAUACAGAAUCGCUUGAACCUGGGAGGCAGAGGUUGCAGUGAGCUGAGAUUAUGCCACUGCACUCCAGCCUGGGUGACAGAGUGAGACUCCUUCUCAAAAAAAAAAAAAAAAAAAAAAAAGAAAGACAGUGUACAUAUCAUAUAUUUUUGUUCAUGUGUUCUUUCUGUGUCACUUCCUCUCAUUCCAUCUUUUUUUUUUUUUUUUGGCUAUAUUCUUUGCUUUGAGGACAUGAGUCAAUGUAAGAAAAUGGCUUAUUUAUAUAUCCUUCCCUUUUUGCUCUUAUGCAGUGUGAGUCCCUUAAAGUCCCUUAAUCUUUAUGAACAUUCUUCUGUCUAAAUAAGACCUUGUGCCAUGUCACACGAUGCUUCACAUUAAAAUUAUACCUCUGCUAGACUGUAAAAUUAAGGAAGUCAGAGUCCCUAAUUUAUUUUUUCUAAGUGUAUCAGUGCAGUAAUGAUUUGAGUGCACAAAAAUCCUACGGGUAUUCAAUAAAAAAUUCUGUAACAAUAAAGAUAAUUUCAAAAAUAAAAUUUCUGAUUUAUCAUUGUACCUUUGUAUAAUACCUGAAUCACAGAAUACUGUGACAGAGGGUAAGAAAAUAGGAACUUUAUGAAAUAUGCCCUGAGAGGACAGAAUCAGAGUGGAAGUGAUCAAAGAAUGCAUUGUUUAUUAAGUAGAAAGCUUUCUCUAAGUGAGCCCACGUAGAUUUCUUUCCCCAUC
rnacentral:lncRNA from 1 species